GAUGAACGCUCGCUACAGGCUUAACACAUGCAAGUCGCGGGGCAGCAUGGGGGUUGCUUGCAAUCCCCGAUGGCGACCGGCGCACGGGUGAGUAACGCGUAUCCAACCUGCCCUUCACCACGGGAUAACCCGGCGAAAGUCGGACUAAUACCGUAUGUUGUCCAUUGACGGCAUCCGAUUUGGACGAAAGGCUUGGCGGUGAGGGAUGGGGAUGCGUCCGAUUAGCCAGACGGCGGGGUAACGGCCCACCGUGGCUACGAUCGGUAGGGGUUCUGAGAGGAAGGUCCCCCACACUGGAACUGAGACACGGUCCAGACUCCUACGGGAGGCAGCAGUGAGGAAUAUUGGUCAAUGGGCGUAAGCCUGAACCAGCCAAGUAGCGUGCAGGAUGACGGCCCUAUGGGUUGUAAACUGCUUUUAUGCGGGGAUAAAGUGGCCCACGGGUGGGCUUUUGCAGGUACCGCAUGAAUAAGGACCGGCUAAUUCCGUG
rnacentral:rRNA from 1 species